UCUUCCCUCUUUCUUCGUGCCUAAUACAUGCAAGUCGAGCGAACAGACGAGGAGCUUGCUCCUCUGACGUUAGCGGCGGACGGGUGAGUAACACGUGGAUAACCUACCUAUAAGACUGGGAUAACUUCGGGAAACCGGAGCUAAUACCGGAUAAUAUAUUGAACCGCAUGGUUCAAUAGUGAAAGACGGUUUUGCUGUCACUUAUAGAUGGAUCCGCGCCGCAUUAGCUAGUUGGUAAGGUAACGGCUUACCAAGGCAACGAUGCGUAGCCGACCUGAGAGGGUGAUCGGCCACACUGGAACUGAGACACGGUCCAGACUCCUACGGGAGGCAGCAGUAGGGAAUCUUCCGCAAUGGGCGAAAGCCUGACGGAGCAACGCCGCGUGAGUGAUGAAGGUCUUCGGAUCGUAAAACUCUGUUAUUAGGGAAGAACAAAUGUGUAAGUAACUAUGCUCGUCUUGACGGUACCUAAUCAGAAAGCCACGGCUAACUACGUG
rnacentral:rRNA from 1 species